rnacentral:rRNA from 1 species
UACGUAGGUGACCAGCGUUGUCCGGAUUUACUGGGCGUAAAGAGCGCGCAGGCGGUCGUUCAAGUCGAGUGUGAAAGCCCCCGGCUCAACUGGGGAGGGUCAUUCGAUACUGAUCGACUUGAAGGCAGGAGAGGGAAGUGGAAUUCCCGGUGUAGUGGUGAAAUGCGUAGAUAUCGGGAGGAACACCAGUGGCGAAGGCGGCUCACUGGCUCGUAACUGACGCUCAGGCGCGACAGCGUGGGGAGCAAACAGG